rnacentral:rRNA from 1 species
GUAACGCGUGGGUAACCUGCCUUAUACAGGGGGAUAACAGUCAGAAAUGGCUGCUAAUACCGCAUAAGCGCACAGAGCUGCAUGGCUCAGUGUGAAAAACUCCGGUGGUAUAAGAUGGACCCGCGUUGGAUUAGCUAGUUGGUGGGGUAACGGCCCACCAAGGCGACGAUCCAUAGCCGGCCUGAGAGGGUGAACGGCCACAUUGGGACUGAGACACGGCCCAA